GACUAAGCGUACACGGUGGAUGCCUAGGCAAUCAGAGGCGAUGAAGGACGUGCUAAUCUGCGAUAAGCGUCGGUAAGGUGAUAUGAACCGUUAUACCCGACGAUUUCCGAAUGGGGAAACCCAGUGCAAUUCGUUGCACUAUCGUUUGAUGAAUACAUAGUCAAACGAAGCGAACCGGGGGAACUGAAACAUCUCAGUACCCCGAGGAAAAGAAAUCAACCGAGAUUCCCCUAGUAGCGGCGAGCGAACGGGGAGCAGCCCAGAGUCUUAAUCAGCAUUAGUAUCAGGAGAACGGUCUGGAAAGUCCGGCAGUAAAGGGU
rnacentral:rRNA from 1 species